AUAUAUAUAUAUUAUAUGUUAUACUGAUUAUCUGAUCUAACAUUAACAUCUAACUCUUAUUGUUCUUAAUAAUUACUCUACUCUAGGUCUAGGCAAUCUAAUAUAUUUCAGACCAGGACCGGUCUUAAGCCACUGCAACUUAUGCAGUCGCAGUGGACCCUGCACUUUCAUAGGCCCCACGCUAAUUCUAGGUGUAAUUGUUAAAUUGCAAUAUAUAUAUAUAUACCGGUAUAUAUAAAACCUGGAAUUCUCAUGAAAGGUCAUAAAAAUCUCCUGAAAAAUAGACUAAAUUGUCAAUUGUGGGUGUCAUUCAUUCCGGAAAACGCUAAUCCUACGCGAGAUAAAAGGCAUUGUCAGCUUUCAUGUAAUAAAAUGUAAUAAUCAGGCAAAUUUUCACUUUAAUCGGAAGUUUCCAUAUUAUACUUUAUUUACUUUAAUAGUGACUGGCAUAUUAAUAUGCCAUAGGUUGCAAAGUUCGUAAAGUAAAGUUAAUUUGAUCGUAAUCUUGUACUUAGUAAAGAUUGAA
rnacentral:sRNA from 1 species